rnacentral:rRNA from 1 species
UACGAAGGGGGCUAGCGUUGUUCGGAAUUACUGGGCGUAAAGCGUGCGCAGGCGGCUUCUCAAGUCAGGGGUGAAAGCCCAGAGCUCAACUCUGGAAUUGCCUUUGAGACUGAGUGGCUUGAGUACGAGAGAGGUGAGUGGAAUUCCCAGUGUAGAGGUGAAAUGCGUAGAUAUCGUGAGGAACACCAGAGGCGAAGGCGGUUUCCUGGACAGUUACUGACGCUCAGGCACGAAAGCAUGGGGAGCAAAAGGG